AAUCAAAUUAGCCAAUGGUGGCAAAACUUUCUGCAAAAAAGUCUACGAGGGUUCGAUCCCCUAUUUGCGUC
rnacentral:tRNA from 1 species